GUGGGCAUCCGUCAGUGUGGGCUCCUAGGCCGGCGGGGGCGAGGCGGGCUGGGCUGACCCAAGACGGGGUCCCCGCGGGCAUCAAGCCGGGCACAGAAGACCCUCCCAGCAUGCCCAAGGCUUGACCCGUCACUCAAAUUCUUAGGGACAUCAUGUGGGCACUGAGCAGCGGCUGCGGGACAUCUUGGCUGAGCCUCUUUCUAGCCGCCCAGAUCUGGAGUUCGUGCUUCCUCGUGGCUCACUCGCAAGCCACCAAAAACGUGACUAUUAGCAUUGCAGUGACCCCGGAGUACCCAUUGAUUGGAGACUCGGUUACACUGAUCCCGGUGACAACGGCAAUGGACGUGAUCUCCUGCCUGUGGCUCAAGAGCUUUGAUAGCGAAUACCAUGAGAUCUUCUUGCAUAAGAUAAAACCUGACAAUAAGGUCGUGAUGGGAGAUGGCUACGACGGGAGGCAGAUCCUCCGGUCCAACUGUACCAUGCGUAUCACCCAACUGAAAACCGAGGACAUGACUCUCUACGUUCUCAUCAGGAACACCACUGGGGUGACCGAGAUUGGCAAAACCUUCCUGCGGAUCCUGGAAGAUAGUAAAGCGAACACGCCUUCUCCAGAUCCAGAUGCGGGCGAACCAAAGGUCAUCACCUUGGGCAACAUGGCCGGCAUUGGCGUCGCCUGCCUCAUUGUGUCCCU
rnacentral:lncRNA from 11 species